rnacentral:tRNA from 1 species
GGCCCCGUAGCUCAGUGGAUUAGAGCACUGGUCUUCGGAACCAGGUGUCGGCGGUUCGAAUCCGUCCGGGGUCGCCA